rnacentral:rRNA from 1 species
GGGUGAGUAACACGUGGGCAAUCUGCCCUGCACUCUGGGACAAGCCCUGGAAACGGGGUCUAAUACCGGAUACUGAGCUACUUGGGCAUCCAAGUGGUUCGAAAGCUCCGGCGGUGCAGGAUGAGCCCGCGGCCUAUCAGCUUGUUGGUGAGGUAAUGGCUCACCAAGGCGACGACGGGUAGCCGGCCUGAGAGGGCGACCGGCCACACUGGGACUGAGACACGGCCCAGACUCCUACGGGAGGCAGCAGUGGGGAAUAUUGCACAAUGGGCGAAAGCCUGAUGCAGCGACGCCCCGUGAGGGAUGACGGCCUUCGGGUUGUAAACCUCUUUCAUCAGGGAAGAAGCGAAAGUGACGGUACCUGCAGAAGAAGCGCCGGCUAACUACGUGCCAGCAGCCGCGGUAAUACGUAGGGCGCAAGCGUUGUCCGGAAUUAUUGGGCGUAAAGAGCUCGUAGGCGGCUUGUCACGUCGGUUGUGAAAGCCCGGGGCUUAACCCCGGGUCUGCAGUCGAUACGGGC